CUGAUGCAGCCAUGCCGCGUGUGUGAAGAAGGCCUUCGGGUUGUAAAGCACUUUCAGUUGGGAGGAAAGGGGUGUAAUUAAUANCUGCAUCCUGUGACGUUUCCAACAGAACAAGCACCGGCUUACUUCGUGCCAGCAGCCGCGGUAAU
rnacentral:rRNA from 1 species